rnacentral:rRNA from 1 species
UACAGAGACUGCGAGCGUUAUUCGGAUUCACUGGGCGUAAAGGGUGCGCAGGUGGCUAGGUGUGUUAGGCGUGAAAGCCCGGGGCUUAACCCCGGAAUUGCACCUAAAACUACUUGGCUAGAGCAUUGGAGAGGGGAGCAGAAUUCAUGGUGUAGCAGUGAAAUGCAUAGAUAUCAUGAGGAAUACCAGAGGCGAAGGCGGCUCCCUGGACAAUUGCUGACACUCAGGCACGAAAGCGUGGGGAGCAAAAGGG